AUAUAUAUAUGUACACAUAUAUAUGUGCACAUAUAUAUGUACAUAUAUAUAUGUGCAUAUAUAUGCAU